UAGCCGGCCUGAGAGGGUGAACGGCCACAUUGGGACUGAGACACGGCCCAGACUCCUACGGGAGGCAGCAGCUAAGAAUCUUCCGCAAUGGGCGAAAGCCUGACGGAGCGAUGCCGCGUGGAUGAAGAAGGCGGAGACGUUGUAAAAUCCUUUUCUCACAGAAGAAUAAUGCUCAGAGGUAAUGCUGGGCAGAUGACGUUAUGUGAGGAAUAAGCACCGGCCAAUUACGUGCCAGCAGCCGCGGUAACACGUAAGGUGCGAGCGUUGUUCGGAAUUAUUGGGCGUAAAGGG
rnacentral:rRNA from 1 species